rnacentral:rRNA from 1 species
CGCCCAACAGCUAGCCCACAAAUACAUAACCAACUUAACCCUAUCAAUAACCCUAAACACAUUACCACGUAAUUUUAAUAAACCAUUUUUCCCCUUUAGUAUAGGCGAUAGAAAAAGAACUAGAAGCUAUAGAGAGAGUACCGCAAGGGAACGCUGAAAGAGAAGUGAAAUAAACCAGUAAAGCCUUUAAAAGCAGAGAUCCGUCCUCGUACCUUUUGCAUCAUGAUUUAGCUAGUGCCCCCAAGCAAAACGUAUUUUAGUUUGAUACCCCGAAACCAAGUGAGCUACUUCAGGACAGCCUAUUUAAAGGGCAAACCCGUCUCUGUGGCAAAAGAGUGGGAAGAUCUUCAAGUAGAGGUGAUAGACCUACCGAACUUUGUUAUAGCUGGUUGCCUGAGAAUUGGAUAGAAGUUCAGCCUGCUAGCUUCUCUAUUAAACCCAGUAACACACCCCUGAUAAAAUGAGAAGCUUGGAGAGUUAGUCAAAGGGGGUACAGCCCCUUUGACCAAAGAUACAACUUUGAUGGGAGACUUAAGAUCAUAUUAAAACCAAGGAUGCGUAUUUAGGUGGGCCUAAAAGCAGCCACCCUGCAGAAAGCGUUACAGCUCAAAUACCUGCCCUGCCCAAUUAUCACGAUCAUUAAUUCUUACACCCCAGCCUUAUCGGGCCACUCCAUGACAAACAUGGAAAAGACCCUGCUAAUAUGAGUAAUAAGAGAGCCAAGACUCUCUCCUUGCACGAGUGUAACUCGGAUCGAACCCGCACCGAAUAAUAACGGCCCCAAAUCAAAGAGGGUUAUGAAUUAUACCAAAAUUGACGAGAAAAAACUUCAUAUGCUCUGCCCGUUAAUCCUACACUGGCGUGCCCUUAAGGAAAGACUAAAAGGAAGAGAAGGAACUCGGCAAACAAAAUGAAGCCUCGCCUGUUUACCAAAAACAUCGCCUCUUGCAAGAUUAAAAAAUAAGAGGUCCCGCCUGCCCUGUGACUAUAUGUUUAACGGCCGCGGUAUUUUAACCGCGCGAAGGUAGCGCAAUCACUUGUCUUUUAAAUGAAGACCUGUAUGAAUGGCUCCACGAGGGCUUAACUGUCUCCUUUUCCUGGUCAAUGAAAUUGAUCUCCCCGUGCAGAAGCGGGGAUAAUUACAUAAGACGAGAAGACCCUAUGGAGCUUUAGACACCAAGGAAGACCAUGUAAUGUAACCCCUAAUAAGGGACUAAACUAGUGGAUCAACCUUCCCUAAUGUCUUUGGUUGGGGCGACCGCGGAGAACUAUAAAACCCCCGUGCGGAAUGGGAACACCCCCUCCUUCAACUAAGAGCCACAGCUCUAGCUAACAGUACUUCUGACCACUAAAGAUCCGGCUAAAGCCGAUCAACGGACCGAGUUACCCUAGGGAUAACAGCGCAAUCCUCUUCUAGAGUUCAUAUCGACAAGGGGGUUUACGACCUCGAUGUUGGAUCAGGACAUCCUAAUGGUGCAGCCGCUAUUAAGGGUCCGUUUGUUCAACGGUUAAAGUCCUACGUGAUCUGAGUUCAGACCGGAGUAAUCCAGGUCAGUUUCUAUCUAUGCAGUGCUCUUUUCUAGUACGAAAGGACCGAAAAGAGAGGGCCUAUGCCAAAAGUAUGCCCCGCCCCCACCUAAUGAAAGAAUCUAAAUUAGGCAAGAGAGCACAAAACCCAGCCCGAGAUAAUGGCUU